GCAAGUUGCUGGUCUGCACCUUCCCGAGGUUGCCAUCCAGUCCCUGCAGCCUGAGCUGGCUUUUCCUGGGACGAGUGUGGUUCGUGAGGGGCUACAGAAAACACAUUGUUCUACAUUGGGUUUCUUAUGAAUGUCCAGCACAAGUCAGAAGUCAGAAAAGCUUGAAAUGGACAAUGUUCGUGGAAAAAAAUCCUGGCCAAGCAGAGAAGAACCACAGCUUGGAAGCAGGCACAGGAGGCUGAAAUCAAACCAAGGAAGACAACGCAGUAGAGCAUUGAAGAAAAGCUUGACUUGAUGUGUGCACAGGCAUCCCGUCCUCACCCCUGGGACUACACUGGGAUCUCUGCUCUACAGCCCUGUUGCUUCCAGCCCCGACCUGUGCCCUCAGAGCUUUCCAGAGCCAAGACUAUCCGCAUUUGACUUCAUUCUGAGGACAUCAAAAUCUUAUGCUUCAAUAUCAAGGUCCCCAGAGUCCUCUGAGCUGCAGAAAGUAAACAGAAGACAGAAUCAUAAGGAAGCAAGUCCUUAAGAGCCUCUUGUCCCACCCCAAGAAGAACUUUCUUCACUUCUCAUGUGCUCACAUGUGAGAGAGAGCGCAGAGGCAAUAACAACAAGUCGUAAAUCCUCCCUAGUGCUGACAAGAGUCCAAAGUUCAGCCCUGAAAAAACUGAUUACUGAUUCCUUGAAAGAAUGAGCUGGGUCUUCUCCCUGCAGAUACUGUCUCCCUGUAAGAGUUUAGGGGGAAUUCAUUGUAAAAUGACGUUGGAAAGCUCAGCCUGAUAGGAUAACAGAGUACACUAUCAAAAUGAGGGAUUCGUGUCCAUCUUAUUUUUUUUAUUCGAUAUAUUUUUUAUUUACAUUUCAAAUGAUGUCCCCUUUCCUGGCUUCCCACUCCCUGAAAGUCCCAUAAGCCCUUUUCCCUCCCACUGUUCCCCCAUUCACCCCUUCUCACUUCCCUGUUCUGGUAUUGCCCUACACUGCUGCACUGAGCCUUUCCAGAACCAGGGGCCUCCAUUCUUCUUGUACAUCAUUUGAUAUGUGGAUUAUAUCUUGGGUAUUCCAAGUUUCUAGGCUAAUAUCCGCUUAUCAGUGAGUGCAUACCAUG